UACGGAGGCAGCAAGCGUUGUUCGGAGUUACUGGGCGUAAAGGGUGUGUAGGCGGUUGUUUAAGUUUGGUGGGAAAUCUCCCGGCUCAACCGGGAGGGUGCGCCGAAUACUGAACGGCUUGGAGUGCGGGAGAGGAGAGUGGAAUUCCUGGUGUAGCGGUGAAAUGCGUAGAUAUCAGGAGGAACACCGGUGGUGUAGACGGCUCUCUGGACCGUAACUGACGCUGAGACACGAAAGCGUGGGUAGCAAACAGG
rnacentral:rRNA from 1 species